UGGGGAAUAUUGCACAAUGGGCGCAAGCCUGAUGCAGCCAUGCCGCGUGUAUGAAGAAGGCCUUCGGGUUGUAAAGUACUUUCAGCGGGGAGGAAGGGAGUAAAGUUAAUACCUUUGCUCAUUGACGUUACCCGCAGAAGAAGCACCGGCUAACUCCGUGCCAGCAGCCGCGGUAAUACGGAGGGUGCAAGCGUUAAUCGGAAUUACUGGGCGUAAAGCGCACGCAGGCGGUUUGUUAAGUCAGAGGUGAAAUCCCCGGGCUCAACCUGGGAACUGCAUCUGAUACUGGUAAGCUUGAGUCUCGUAGAGGCGGGUAGAAUUCCAGGUGUAGCGGUGAAAUGCGUAGAGAUCUGGAGGAAUACCGGUGGCGAAGGCGGCCCCCUGGACGAAGACUGACGCUCAGGUGCGAAAGCGUGGGGAGCAAACAGG
rnacentral:rRNA from 1 species